ensembl:snRNA U6 U6 spliceosomal RNA
GUGCUCACUUUGGCAGCACAUAUAAUAUUGGAACAAUACAGAGAAGAUUAGCAUAACCCCUGCGCAAGGAUGACACACAAACUUCUGAAGCAUUCCACAUAUAC